AAAUUGAAGAGUUUGAUCAUGGCUCAGAUUGAACGCUGGCGGCAGGCCUAACACAUGCAAGUCGAACGGUAACAGGAAGCAGCUUGCUGCUUCGCUGACGAGUGGCGGACGGGUGAGUAAUGUCUGGGAAACUGCCUGAUGGAGGGGGAUAACUACUGGAAACGGUAGCUAAUACCGCAUAAUGUCGCAAGACCAAAGAGGGGGACCUUCGGG
rnacentral:rRNA from 1 species